CACCAGACUCCUACGGGAGGCAGCAGUGGGGAAUAUUGCACAAUGGGGGAAACCCUGAUGCAGCGACGCCGCGUGAGUGAAGAAGUAUUUCGGUAUGUAAAGCUCUAUCAGCAGGGAAGAUAAUGACGGUACCUGAGUAAGAAGCCCCGGCUAACUACGUGCCAGCAGCCGCGGUAAUACGUAGGGGGCAAGCGUUAUCCGGAUUUACUGGGUGUAAAGGGAGCGUAGACGGCAUGGCAAGUCUGAAGUGAAAGCCCGGGGCUCAACCGCGGGACUGCUUUGGAAACUGUUAAGCUGGAGUGCAGGAGAGGUAAGUGGAAUUCCUAGUGUAGCGGUGAAAUGCGUAGAUAUUAGGAGGAACACCAGUGGCGAAGGCGGCUUACUGGGCUGUAACUGACACUGAGGCACGAAAGCGUGGGGAGCAAACAGGAUUAGAUACCCCGGUAC
rnacentral:rRNA from 1 species